rfam:Triticum urartu cultivar G1812 contig414576, whole genome shotgun sequence.
UAUGUACUCCCUCCGUUUCAAAUUACUUGUCGCAGGUAUGAAUGUAUCUAGAUGUAUUUUAGCUCUAGAUACAUCUAUUUCUACGACAAGUAAUUUGGAAUGGAGGGAGUAUGAA